UUUAUGGCCAGCUGAAGGAACUCGAGAGAUGGGAUGUUCCCAAUGCCCUCAGGGAUCGAUCCCUGGAGAUGGUUAGCUGCCAGGGACAAGAUGGACACCUGGGAGAGGUUCCCUAGUGAUGACGGGAUGGUCCCGGUGAGGCUGUUGUUGUAUAGGUGUACAAGACGUAGCGAUUGCAUGUUGCCGAUCUCAGAAGGCCAAGGUACCUGAGGCGGUGGAGGGAGCCGAUGCUGGGAGGGAUCUUACCGUACAAGGGGUUGAGGCUCAAGUUGAGUGUGCGGAGGAACGUGAGGUUGCCGACGGCAGGGGAGAUGGUGCCGGCGAGCCCCUGGGAGUUGAGGUCCAGAGCGACCACCCUCGAUCGGUGCCUCUGGCUGCACGUGACGCCCUCCCAGGCGCAGUAACUGAUGCUCCUGUUCCAGGAGGACAGCACCCUUGAAUGGUCUGAAAUCCUUUCCUUGAAUGCUUCGAGAGCGCUCUCAUCUCCGUCAUGUGCGCGCGUCACCCCCAUGGUGGAGAGCAGGAGAAGCACAAGACAUUUGAUUCCGACGAGGCGCCGUGGCAGCGGUGUACCCCUCCGCCACAUGGUUCUGUGCGUGGUUAUUUUCACUCUCUCUUCCUUGGUAUGGAACAUUGGAGCUACAAGUUCUAGCUUUCUGAUACAGAAUUUGCACGAUGUUGGUGUGCCUUUCGCGAAAUUAAAAUAGUACUGGUACCAAGUUGUCGAUGUUAGUGACCUCGGACUGAAUCUGACCACUUAUGCAGCUGUGUUGAAACUGACGUGCUGUCCCUGAUUAAUUGCUCCUCAGCUGCACCUGGUCCCAGUGAUGUAGUCCAGGAGGUCCCAAUGCAAUGAAUAAAACAAUCAAGACUGUCUCUGUCUGAUGGGAACCAAUUAGCCUGAAUUCUUCUAUGUUUUUUGUCAAAAAAAAAGAGUAUAGAUGAGAACGCGUGGCUGGUGUUUAGGGGCCCAUAGUUGAACAAGUGCUCGUGUUGGAUUUUUUUUGAAGGAAAAGGAAAGUUCGGUGUUUCGUUCCCUUUGAACUAGCCCUGAAGUUGAAGUUGAAGUUGCAGCAUGUAGUUUCCCCAGUGAAGUUGAUAAUUCAACAAAAGAGGCCGGAAGUGCAACAGAAUUGACUUUGGAAGACGAGUCUGCAAAGAGAGUUGGUGUAUGUCUUGUGAUGUACUGGAUACUUUACACACACAUUUCUUGAGUUUUGUUCUUCUCACGUAGCACCCCUCUUUCCUCUCUUGAAUUAGCCCUGAGGUUGCAGCAUGCCAGCAUCUAGUUGAUACCGACAAAGGAUGAUACUUCAGCAAAAGUGGCUGGAAGCGCAACACAAGUAACUUGGAAACAAAAGCCAGUGCUGAAAUUUGGAUUAAACAGUAGGCGAGCCGCGACUCGUUUCUUGCACUUAGCGGCUGGUUGAUUCAGAAAUUGGUUGACUGGAAUAAAACUGAUGGAAGGCAUAUGUUCUUGUGUUCUUUAUACCCUAGACCACAGCAAUGCUGUCACAAAUGAUAACGUGUAUAAAGUGAAUAAUACAGUACCAGUUGAUAGACUUUACAUCACAACAUAGUACAGAUCUCAAUAAUAUACUUGGAGAACCCAUGGUUAUCGGCAUUUGGUAGUGGUUUCUUCAUAUGAUUUAACAUCACUUCACUGACUACUGAGGUAGGCAUCUCUGAUGGCAUGCAUCUCUGCAGCAGCAUCACUUGUUGACAUCCUUUCUCUGGGCAAUUGCUUUGAGCAUAGGACACAAAGCUGGAUGAUGGCAGCCAAACAUUCCUUGGCUCUGCUUAUAUUUUCUGUAUCAGUGCUAUCGUUUGCUUCAUCAUGCAGCCAGAUGUUGGAGUCUGCUAUCUUCAUGACAUUCCCAGAUAGACCUGCUGCCUCUGCAAAGUAUUGCAGGGUUAACCCAUCUCUAAACAUAUCAUCUGUCGGGCACCUUCCAGUAAACAUCUCGAUCAAGGUGAUCCCAAGGCUGUACACAUCACCAUAAGUAGAUACUGGAAGCCCUUCUCCAUAUUCUACAAUGGAUUGAAACAAUUCGGGGUAUAAACAGGGGGAGCAUAUUCAGUUACCUGGAGCAACAUAUCCAAUGGAUCCUCUUAUUCCCAUGGAGCUAAGGGAACUUGCAGAAGCUUCGCUUGCAGCUUCUUUUAGAAUUCUAGCAAUGCCAAAAUCCCCAACACGAGCCCUCAUGUCCUCUGUGAGAAGAAUGUUGCUUGGCUUGAGAUCGCAAUGGAUGAUGGAAGGUUGGCAACCAUUGUGAAGAUAGUCUAUAGCAUCCACGAGGUCAACGGCGAUAUCUAACCUCUGUGACAGGCUGAGUGUUCCCAUUCUGUUUUGGCUUUCAAUAUCUGGGUGGAUCCAGCGGUCUAAGCUGAAAUUGGGCAUGAGCUCGAAGACUAGCGCUCUGAAGUCUUGGCCUUGGUGGUUGAUGCUUGAACAACAUGUGAUGAUCUUUACAAGGCAACGGUGCCUAACUCUUCUUAGUGCCUCACAUUCAUCCAGGAAGCUCUUGUAGGAUCCAGAUUGCUGCAGAUUAAACACCUUCACAGCGGCAGCAAAAUUUUCUAGAGUGCCUUUGUAUACAGUACCAUAUCUUCCCUUCCCAAGCAGAUUGGCUUCUGAAAACCCGUCCGUUGCUUUGAGUAUGUCGUUGUAUGAAACCGUUGGAAGGUCAAUCUUCUGAGGUGACAGUUGUUCUUUCCUCAAUCCUGACUUAAAUUUUCUGUACAGAAAUCCAGCUAAAGCAAGAGCUACAAGUAAGACUAGGAUACCAACUGCUGCAGGGACAGCUAUUCUCAGGGACUUUGGCAAGCCUCUCUUGGAGCUUGGACAUUUUGGCAGUUGAAGCUGUGGUAUUCCACCACAUAACUCAUUGUUUCCAAAAAUUGAUAGUCCAGUUAAAUUCCUGAAAAUCCCUUCUUUUGGUACCUCACCUUGUAAAUUGUUGAACGAUAUGUCGAGGUGGAGCAGAGAUGUUGAAUAACCAAGGAGUUCAGGGAUUGACCCUGACAGAUCAUUAUGUGCAAGAUACAGUUCCUGCAAGCUGGUAAUGUUGCUCAGUUCCCCUGGGAUGCUACCGUUCAGUUUGUUGUUCGUCAAAUUCAGUACAGUAAGCCCUUUGAUGUUCUUCAAAGUGGGAGGGAUGUUUCCUUGGAAUGAAUUGCCAUCCAUCAAGAGGGUUUCCAGGACCACGCAGCCACCAAUGGCUGCAGGUAUUUUACCAGACAACUGGUUCCCUGAUAGGAUAAGCUGUUCGAGAUUUACCAAAUUGCCAAUCUCUGAAGGUAGAGGUCCCUCCAGCAAGUUGUAAGACAAAGCCAAAUAAAUUGAGAUGGAUGAUAGUUGCAUAAUUUCCUUUGGAAUUGAGCCAGAAAGAUGGUUCGUCGAUAUAUCUAGUGCUGAAAGUUUUGUCAAAUUCCCAAUGCUUGAUGGAAUCGGUCCCUCCAAGCUGUUGAAGCUUGCACCAAGCCUAUAAAGACCAGCGAGGUUUCCGAUGGAAGAGGGGAUGAAUCCUGAUAAGUUGUUGGAACUCAGAUGUAGCCUCUUCAAUUGUAUAAGUUUCCCUAUGGUCUCAGGAAUGGCCCCAGUGAGCAAGUUGCCAGCAAGAAUAAGCACCUCAAGACCUAUCAAAUUUCCAAUAUCUGAUGGAAUAGUACCAGAUAUAUUGUUGUUAAAAAUAUCUAGCUCUUGGAUGUUUGUGGACAAGUUAGACAAUGAGGUUGGUAAUUGCCCCGAGAACCUGUUCUGUUCUAUAUUUAUCUGUUGCAACCUGCUACAGUUUGUCAAAGAAGUAAGGAAUUGCCAUUCUUGCUCAUUGUUUGCCUCAAACUUGUUUCCAACCAGAUUAAACCUUCUAAGAUACUGCAAUUUUCCCAAGUCUGAAGGGACAACCCCACUGAAUCCGUUAUUUGCAACAUCAAAAAGCUGGAGUCUGGAGAUAUUAGUCAGUGAUGGAGGCACAACUCCAGUGAAUCGGUUAUUCCCAAAUCCAAACUGCUGUAUGCUAGGAAGGCUUCUUCCCAGAUGAGCUGGUAGACGGCCAUGCAGGUAGUUGUCCGUCACAAAAAACAUGUACAGAGAUGACUGGUUGUACAGCGAAAGAGGAAGCAAACCUGAGAGGUUGUUCAUGGCCAGCUGAAGGAACCCGAGAUGUGCAUUGUUCCCAAUGCUCUCGGGGAUUGAUCCCUCGAGAUGGUUAGCUGCCAGGGACAAGAUGGUCACCUGUGAGAGGUUCCCAAGUGAUGAGGGGAUGGUCCCAGUGAGGCUGUUGUUGUAUAGGUGUACAACACGUAGCGAUUGCAUGUUGCCGAUCUCAGAAGGUAUGCUUCCUUGCAACCCCUUGUUGUCAGCAAUUAUCAUCACCCUGAGGUUGGUGCAGCGGCUAAUGUUGCUUGGGAUCGCACCAGUGAGCAUGUUCCCUUGGAGUCCAAGGUACUUGAGACGGCGGAGGGAGCCGAUGCUGGGAGGAAUCUUGCCGUGCAAGGGAUUGAGGCUCAAGUUGAGCGUGCGGAGGAACGUGAGGUUGCCGAUGGCAGGGGAGAUAGUGCCGGAGAUCCCCUGAGAGUUUAGGUCCAGAGCAACCACCCUCGACCGAUGUCUCCGGCUGCACGUGACGCCCUCCCAGGCACAGUAGCUGAUGCUCCGGUUCCAGGAGGCCAGCACCCCGGAAUGGUCUGAAAUCCUUUCCUUGAAAGCCGUGAGAGCUCCCUCGUUGUCGUCGUGUGCGUGCAUGACCCCCAUGGUGGAGAGUAGGAGAAGCACAAGACAUCUGAUUCCGAAGAGGCGCCGUGGCAGCGGUGUACCCCUCCGCCACAUGGUUUGCUGCAUCGGGCUGGUUAUUUGGGUGGUUCUUUUCUCUCUCUCCUCGGUAUGGAUCAUUGGAGCUACAAGCUCUUUCUUUCUGAUACAGAAUUUGGAUGAUGCCGGCGAGCCUUUUGCCGGAUUAAAUUAGUACCGGUACCAUUAUUCAUGUUAGUGACCUAGGACUGAAUUUGACCACUUCUGCACCUGUGCCGAAACUGACUUGCUCUCCCUGAUUAAAAUACAGAAUUUGGAUGAUGCCGGCGAGCCUUUUGCCGGAUUAAAUUAGUACCGGUACCAUUGCCGAAACUGACUUGCUCUCCCUGAUUAAAUGCUCCUGAGCUGCACCUGCCCCCCAUGAUGUAGUCCAGGAGGCCCCAGUGAUUUAUCAAGGCGCGGUGCAAUGAAUGAAACAAUCGGGUCCAUCUGUUUGAUGGAAACCAAUUAGCAUUAGUUCUUCUAUGUUUUUAUUACUCCCUUCGAUCCAUAUUAAUUGACUUUGGGAUGCAAAGCAGGUCCCGUUUAAACCCACUUAUGGUCUUAACAGUUCAAUAAUUUGUUUUUUUUCCAGGGAGAAUGAACUAUCAAGCUAGAUAAAGCUAACUAAACGGGACUUGUGGACGCUGUUUAUUUGCCAUUUACAUCCCGCUGUGCAAGCUUCCCUAUGCUCUCAUGAAUUAUCCCAUUGAGCAAGUUGCGACCAAGAACAAGCACCUCCAGGCCUAUCAAGUUUCCGAUAUCCGAUGGGAUAGUGCCAGAUAUAUUGUUGGCAAAAAUAUUUAGCUCUUGUAUGUUUCUGGACAAGUUAGACAAUGAGGUUGGCAAUUGCCCCGAAAAACCUGUUCUGUUCUAUUGACAUCAGUUGCAACCUGCUACAGUUUGUCAAAGAAGGAAUUGCCAUUCUUGUUCAUUGUUUUGCCUGAUGGGAACAAUCAAAACUGCCUGAUGAGAACCAAUGAUAAGUUUUUCUAUUCCUUAUGUAGGAAGAAAACAGAAGUUCAGGGUGAAGAAGGAAAGAACAGGUGGCUGUUUUGUGGCGUGUGUUGGAUCUUUUUAAGGAAAAGGAAAAGGAAAAGGAAAGAACAGGUGGCUGUUUUUGUGACUGAGCCAACAAAAACAACUUUUGAAGAUUAGCAGCACAGGCAGUUCCAGCACAACACUGAGACCAACUUCAGCAAAUGAAGAAGGUCAAGGAAAAGGGAAGUUGGGUGAUUAUUCCCUGAACCUGCAGCAAGAAGCUGAGCCCACAAGGUGGGACACUGGGACAGUGCUUCAACAGAGAGCGCUGGAAAUGCAACAAAAGUAGCUUAGCCAACAAAGUGGACUGGAAAUUCGACAGAAUUAACUUUGAAGAAGUGAGCCAGCAAAGAGAAGAAGCGCAUGUUUUUUUUAUGUUAUAUCAUAUAGCAACUUUUUUUUUACUUCAUUAUCAUGUACGGAACUCAAUUUUGUUCUUAUUUAUUAGCUGGCAGUGUGCUGGCCACUUUUCCAAUGUUUUUUUUUCUGUUGGGUUAAUAACCGUGGAGCUUUUCCCCUGGACCAGUUUAAUUGUAUUUCGGAAAAUGCUGCAUGGGUAUACACUUUUUGAUGUAAAAAAUAGAGAAUGCAAGUAUACUGGAAAAACAA